rnacentral:rRNA from 1 species
CGGCGUGCUUAACACAUGCAAGUCGAACGGUGAAGGUGGAGCUUGCUCUGCUGGAUCAGUGGCGAACGGGUGAGUAACACGUGAGCAAUCUGCCCCGAACUCUGGGAUAACCACGGGAAACCGUGGCUAAUACUGGAUAUGUCGAGUGACCGCAUGGUCUGCUCGUGGAAAGAUUUUUCGGUUCGGGAUGAGCUCGCGGCCUAUCAGCUUGUUGGUGAGGUAAUGGCUCACCAAGGCGACGACGGGUAGCCGGCCUGAGAGGGUGACCGGCCACACUGGGACUGAGACACGGCCCAGACUCCUACGGGAGGCAGCAGUGGGGAAUAUUGCACAAUGGGCGCAAGCCUGAUGCAGCAACGCCGCGUGAGGGAUGACGGCCUUCGGGUUGUAAACCUCUUUUAGCAGGGAAGAAGCGAAAGUGACGGUACCUGCAGAAAAAGCACCGGCUAACUACGUGCCAGCAGCCGCAGUAAAAC